AGCAGGGAUGAUUGGAAUCCGCAAAGAGAACAUAGACUCCAUCUGCAGGUCCAGCAGUAGAAAAUGCGUGAAAGAAAAUACAGCUCCCGCGUGGGAGGGCUGCAGGGGAAGAAGUGCCCAGAUCCAGGUAGAACACGGCAUCAGUGUCAUGUUCAGGAAAGAGGUCAGUGAUAAGGGCAGUUUGCAGUGACUGGUCUAGUCAGCCAAGGACACGAGGAGCAAAAGUGCAGUCUGACAAAAUCAGAUUUAUUGACUUGAUGCAGUGAAAAAAGGCACUCAGAGGAAUCCUGGAACACCCCUUUCAACAAGAGGGAGGAGGAAAGCGUGCUCUGUAGGGCUGGGUUCCUGCUGAAGGAUUCGGAGGAGGGACUGAGGGGAGCCAGGAUCAGUGUAACAUCCUUCCAGUUUCUCAGGUGGAAUGCAGAGAAGCAAGCACUAACUGGGCUUCCCUGGUGGCUCAGCAGUCCCAGACAGACUCACUCCUUCACUGAACAUAAUUCCAGAAGGCACGAUGGAGGAGGUUCAGAAGAGGGAGAAGCAGUGAGAGAUGGGGCCACAACAGACAUAUCUGGACAAAGAGGAUUGAAGCUUAGGAAAUGAGUGAUGACCUGGAAAGCAGGGACGUCUUGUCCUGAUCACUUAAACAUACUGUCCUGAGAGGCUUUGUGGAGGGAAGGGAUGCGGUUGGGGAGGCUGAGUACUCUGGGGGUACUCAGGACCUGGAGUCCCGCCUCACCUCUGCAGAGGGGGCCCUACAGGAAGGUGGGCUUCUCUGGAGCACUAUGGCCCUCCCUUGAAUUCUAUGAAAAAGCAGGAAAUAAAAGGGAGAAAACAUCUGGAAUGGGUGUUGCCUCAUAGUGAAGAGACGUGACAACAGAGGAGGAAAUAAAGAUUAUAAAUGUAUAAAAUAUAUCACAUUUCAAAAUAUACAGUUUGGAAUUAUUUGAUAUCAAGGUAAAUAACCUAAUAUACAGCAUGUUCCCUGAAGUCAUCACAGUGUUAUACCAGAGGAUGAUUAAUAUUCUUAAUGGUGUCCCUGAAUUACCAAUAAAAUGGGAGAUUAUGGUGAGUGUGCUCUUUACAAGGCAAUAAGAUAGAACCAGAAUAUAUUUUCUAUAUCCUUCUGUUCACAAUAAAUAAUCCAUGUCUUCUUCUUCACUAGUUUCUUCCUCAUCAAAUUUAUUUGGAAAAGAUUCCCAUCAAGAAAUAUUGCCAUGCAGAACACUUGACUCUACAGACAGACUGUUAACCCAAAGGUUGUCCAGUAAGUGGACUAAAACAUGCCAAGUCCCCAAGCUCACAUUCCGUCCCUCAACAUGUGGUAAUAGAACAGGUUCCUUCUACCAAUGCCGUCCUUAAAAGAAAAGUGCUGGAAAGUUAGAGACAAAGAAAAUAAUGCCUACGUACCAGCGCUCACAGUCUAGCACAGAUUUGUAACAAACUCACUUUUUCAUGUUUCACAAUUCACUUAGUGUUUUCAUGUGCAUUCUCCCACUUGGUCCUCACAAAUACUCUGUGAAGAUAUUAAUAUGCAAUCUCAUUUUGCAAUGGCAGUAACCAUGCUUCAGGGAGUUUAAGAAACUUGUCCAAGGUCAUAUUACUGAUGAGUAGAGUUGUGGAUGUUGUUUAGUCACUAAGUCCUGUUUGACUCUUCUGUGACCCCGUGGACUGC
ensembl:lncRNA